rnacentral:rRNA from 1 species
UAACACGUGGGUAACCUGCCUCAGACAGGGGGAUAGCCUUCCGAAAGGAAGAUUAAUACUGCAUAACAUCAAGUUGUCGCAUGACAGUUUGAUCAAAGGAGUAAUCCGGUUUGAGAUGGACCCGCGGCGCAUUAGCUAGUUGGUGAGGUAAAGGCCCACCAAGGCGACGAUGCGUAGCCGACCUGAGAGGGUGAUCGGCCACAUUGGAACUGAGAUACGGUCCAA